GACGGAGGGGCAAGCGUUGUUCGGAAUUAUUGGGCGUAAAGGGCUCGUAGGCGGAUCUGUAAGUCUGACGUGAAAUCUCCACCGCUCACCGGGGAGGGUCGUUGGAUACUGCGGAUCUGGAGUUCGGCAGAGGACCACGGAAUUCCGCGUGUAGCGGUGGAAUGCGUAGAUAUGCGGAAGAACACCGGUGGCGAAGGCGGUGGGUCUGGGCCUGAACUGACGCUGAGGAGCGAAAGCCAGGGAGGCAAACGGG
rnacentral:rRNA from 1 species